UGGGGAAUAUUGCACAAUGGGCGCAAGCCUGAUGCAGCCAUGCCGCGUGUAUGAAGAAGGCCUUCGGGUUGUAAAGUACUUUCAGCGGGGAGGAAGGCGAUAAGGUUAAUAACCGCAACGAUUGACGUUACUCGCAGAAGAAGCACCGGCUAACUCCGUGCCAGCAGCCGCGGUAAUAAGGAGGGUGCAAGCGUUAAUCGGAAUUCCUGGGCGUAAAGCGCACGCAGGCGGUCUGUCAAGUCGGAUGUGAAAUCCCCGGGCUCAACCUGGGAACUGCAUCCGAAACUGGCAGGCUAGAGUCUUGUAGAGGGGGGUAGAAUUCCAGGUGUAGCGGUGAAAUGCGUAGAGAUCUGGAGGAAUACCGGUGGCGAAGGCGGCCCCCUGGACAAAGACUGACGCUCAGGUGCGAAAGCGUGGGGAGCAAACA
rnacentral:rRNA from 1 species